CGUAUAUAUAUAGAGAAAGAGAGGGAGAGAGCGAGAGAGAAGUGCGCGCGCGCGCGCGCAACCGAGUGGCCGGCCGAGCGAGAACGCACAUAGAGUACGCCGCGUACGGAUUGGAAUGGAACGCGUCGCGGACCACGGCGAAGGAAGUGUUGGAGCGAAAGAGAGAGAGAGAAAGAGAGCGAGAGAGAUAGAUAGGGAGAGGGAAAGAGAGAAAGAGAGAGAGAUAGCUGAGUGACAGAAAAUAAAAGUGAACGAAGAGGAUUCGUGUUAUGGAAGAGAAACGCGAAACGACAGGAUCAAUCGUGUGGAUAACGAACGAAAUGAUGUUCUUCUUAAUAAGGAAGGAUCGUGUCGGCGACACCUGUGUAUUUUGUGCGCUAUCAUAGUACGAGGGAGAUUAAUUGAUUCGUCCCUUCGAUUUACUAAACAAAAAAAUAUCUCCGGUGCUCUGGGGUCUUUCUUGCGAUAACUGCGAGACGCGAGAGCGUGGAGGGAAGAAAAAAAAAUGAUUGAAUCGUGGAGGAAGUAUCAUUGGAGAGGAACAAGUACUACGGCAACGAGAAAAACUAAAACAGCGUAGCGGUCGACGGGUUAGCGAUCGCUCGAAGAGGAAGAAGAAGAGGAAGAAGAAGAAGAAGAAGAAGAAGAAGAAGAAGAAGAAGAAGGAGGAGGAGGAAGAGGAAGGGUAGAAGAAAGAGAAGGAGG